AUGCCUGUCAUAAGAUAUACUGCUGGCAUUAUAAACUGGACACAGAUGGAACUGGACAAUUUGGACAGAAAAACAAGAAAACUCAUGACCAUUCAUCAUUCACUGCACCCUCGCAGUGAUGUUGACCGGCUGUAUCUGCCUAGAAGAUCAGGGGGCAGAGGACUCUUACAAGUCAAACAAGCCGUCAAAGAAGAAGAACAUGCCCUGGCAGAAUAUGUAAAGCAAAGUGAAGAACCUGCUCUGAUUGAAGUAAAAAAUCAGAAACUCCUCAAAGCUCAGCAGACAAAGAAUCAGUACAAGAAAACCGCACUACAAACUAGAGCUGACAGCUGGCACAACAAAACAUUGCAUGGAAAGUUCCUUGACAAAAUUGAAGGAAAAGCUGAUAAGGAGAAGACCUGGCUCUGGCUCACGAAUGGGACCCUGAAGAAGGAGACAGAAGGCCUGAUCCUUGCAGCCCAGGAGCAAGACAUCAGGACAAAGGCAAUUCAGGCCAAGAUCGAAAAAUCAGACCCAAAAUGCAGACUGUGCAAGGAAACCGACGAAACCAUUGAUCAUAUCCUCAGCUGCUGUAAGAAAAUCGCACAGACAGACUACAAACAGAGGCACAACUAUGUGGCCCAAAUGAUUCAUUGGAACUUAUGCCUCAAGUACCACCUCCCAGCAGCAAAGAACUGGUGGGAUCACAAACCUGCCAAAGUAUUGGAAAAUGAGCACGCAAAGAUACUGUGGGACUUCCGAAUCCAGACUGACAAAGUUCUGGAACACAAUACACCAGACAUCACAGUUGUGGAAAAGAACAAGGUUUGGAUCAUUGAUGUCGCCAUCCCAGGUGACAGUCGCAUGGACGAAAAACAACAGGAAAAACUCAGCCGCUAUCAGGACCUCAAGAUUGAACUGCAAAGACUCUGGCAGAAACCAGUGCAGGUGGUCCCGGUGGUGAUGGGCACACUGGGUGCCGUGCCAAAAGAUCUCAGCCGGCAUUUGGAAACAAUAGGCACACAUCAUCCGAAAAUACAUCACACAGUCCUAGACACUUGGGAAGUGUUCGACUUAUCCGAAAAUACAUCACACAGUCCUAGACACUUGGGAAGUGUUCGACUUGUGGUUUUGCGAAAUGAAAUCCAGCAUAUCUAUCUUGUUUGCUGUGCCAUACAAUGUCGUUGUGUUGAUAAUAAUAAUAAUAAUAAUAAUAAUAAUAAUAAUAAUAAUAACAGUGAUAGUAACAGAAGAAAUUGGGCUCCUACAACCAAGGCAGCCCCAAAGAAAAUCGACUGGAAAACCAAAGUGGAAGGUCAGGCUAGAGUUGAAAAUCAAGAAACUUAGAUCAGACACAAGUAACCUGAAAAAUAU
rnacentral:lncRNA from 1 species